rnacentral:rRNA from 1 species
UACGGGGGAAGCAAGCGUUGUUCGGAUUUACUGGGCGUAAAGGGCGCGUAGGCGGCCAUCUAAGUCAGACGUGAAAUCCCCCGGCUUAACCUGGGAACUGCGUCUGAUACUGGACGGCUGGAGUUUGGGAGAGGGAUGUAGAAUUCCAGGUGUAGCGGUGAAAUGCGUAGAUAUCUGGAGGAAUACCGGUGGCGAAGGCGGCAUCCUGGACCAAUACUGACGCUGAGGCGCGAAAGCUAGGGGAGCAAACGGG